GAAGUGCGAUAAGCAAUGCGAAUUGCAGAACCGUGAGUCAUCAGAUUUUUGAACGCAACUGGCACCUACGGGUUCUCCCGCAGGUAUGCUUGUUUCAGUAUGUUUUUAUCUCCUCCCCCAAAUCAUAAUGUGACAGAUGCCCUUCUGUCGCUAAAUAUGGAAGCAAUCUGUUCAUCGCAGUGACUUCGGUCACACUCAAUGCAGACGCCACAUUCUACAAUGUGAACUCAUUGAUGGCAAUGGCAGCGCAUCUUCGGGUGCAAUUGCUUGGAGACUUUAAUUUUCCCAUCAUCUGAAGCAAGUAGGAGUACCCGCUGAACUUAA
rnacentral:misc_RNA from 1 species